CCCACGAACUGUGAGAUCAUGACCUGAGCCAAAGCGAAUGCUUAACCGACUGAGCCACCCAGGCGCCCCUCAAGAAUCUUUGAUGACGCCAAGAGUGAGGAUUUAUUUGCAUUGUCCCAUUUAACCCCCACAAAAUCCUGGAGGUGACACUCCCUGUUUCACAGGUGAGAAAGCCGGGACUCAGAGAGGUUACGUAACCUGUCCACGACCACACGGCUAGUACCUAGCCAGGGUUUGAACUUGGGUAGUCUGCCUAGAGCCCUACUCUUCCCGAGUAGUCUGGCAUCGAAUGACUGUCCCCCGACCACCCUUCAGCCCCCUUGGCCAGCCCCGCUCUAGAGCGAUGUUCUCAGGACCCUGGCUGGGCCUCAGGGCUGGUGUCUGUUCAGCAGGGUCCGACCAAGCAGUUAUGUGGGAUGCGGCUGGGCAGUUUCCGCUGUGGUGGGGUUGGGCUAAGUGAGCUCCGCUCGUGUUGCCUGGAUCAGCAAGAGGGUGGCUCAGAGUACCAGCAGAGAUCAUCUGCCCUGCCCCAGGCCCCUCCUGAGAAUUUUCCUCUCUCGCCGUUCCACUUUCCAGUCGGCAUCAACUAAUUGUUUCAUUACAUGUGAAUUAGCUGAUAUAAAUGCUGAGGAAGACCCCUUUGGCACGAAGGAAAGGGUGCUGACCUGGGUUCUUGUUCUAUUACCAACCAGCCUGGCUGUCCUGAGUAACUUCUUUGGGUCUCCGUUUUCUCAUUUACAAAAUGGGAGGACAGUAAAACCUUGCUAUUGCGAGCCUAAUGCAUUCUGGAAACAUGCUUGUCAUCCAAAGCACCCAUACAUCAAAGUCAAGCACCGUUGGCUCAGCUGUGAUCACGUGACAUUCGGUGUCGCACACUACACGUAGUGCAAGAUAUCACUCCUUUAUCAAGUUGAAGUUUAUUGGAAAUGUUUGCCCAUCUUGUGGAACACUCGCAGAACAAGCCGCUGGCAAUCCGAGGUUUUACUGUAAUAAUCACUCACCCGACUCUCCCAUGUGGGUUGUGAGCCUCUGGCGAGGUCAGGCUCUUCCUGAAGCUUCUGUCCCAUGUCUGCAGGAACAGGGGCUUGCAGAGAGGACCCAGACCCUGUGACGGUAACUGGGACCCUGGGGGGGGGGGCUCUGUCACUCAGCCCCUGCAGCUCCGAGCUGCACGGCCAGUGGAGAGCAUCUCUGGGAUGUCCCCUUCGGUCUCCGUGGCGAUAGCCGCCGUAACUUUGGCGGAAGUGGAGGACCAGACACAUUUUACCAGGCGGAAAUCCGGCACCGGGGCUGUGCGAGUGUGGGGCCCAGGCCACUCGCCGCGGAUCCACAGCCUGAGCUGGCAGGUGCAGGGCCCUUCCGAGGAGCUCCUGCGGCACGCACGCCCGGGAGUCCAGUCUGCAAGUCUACGGUGAGUGUCCCGGGCCGCGGGUGUGAGGGUGGUACCCGUUUUCAGGCUUUCUGACAGCCUUUCCCACAUCUCUUCUAGCAACAUUUACAGUUUUGUGAAUUACAAGGCUAAUAUGUGCUCAUUGUAAAAACAAAACAAAACAAAGAAAAAAACGUGUAAAGUAGAGUUGCCCGGGAGAAUGUCCUGAACAAUGUCAAGGCCCAGGACCUGCCCAGACCAACGGCAGCAGGACCCCUUGGGUCUGUGAGGGCGGAGAAUGGAAUCCAGCUGCGAGAACUAAGUUGUGCCACGUCCAACCUGAGUGGCCGUGACCCUUCUCAGUGCUGCAGUAGGAACCCUACAUCUCGUGGAAAUCAACUCGUGCGGAAGAGCUUUGUGACAGGCUGGGCACACGGACGAGAACGCUGUGGUCGUAUUGCUUACAGAUAGUUAGAAAUUGCUUUAGCGGCAGAACUGCCACCGAGGUGCCAGGGGGGUUUCCCCAAGUCCCUGGGGUCUCACGACAGCCCCGCAGCUGGCAGGAAAGGGGCUUUUCUAUCCAAGCUGCUGCCACCGUCUCAGAGAGAAAAAAUGACACAGAGACAGAACGUGGCAGACCCAGGAAUAGAACUUAUGCACCUCGAUGCCACAUCCUGUGCUUCUGGUUUGUCACUGGGUUUAUGUGCUGCAGAGGGAGUCAUGGGGGAGGGCUUGGGGCCCAGGCCCAGGCUGGAGGAGACACAGUGGGGGAGGGGGGCGGCAGAAAGUUACUCAGCCUGCUUUCUGCCGGAGGACACUCUGGGCUGUGUGGUCCCAUCUUGCCCGGUGGAGCCGCCCCUGGGGCUGCUGUCAGGAGGGCCCUGGGGCCGACACCGAACCUUCUCCCAUGCCUGUGGCUCUGUUGAGAGUGGCCUGACUGUCCACUGUCUGCACCUGCUCUCCCUGCUACCCCCACGUCUCGUGGCUCUGGCCUGGGGAGGCAGGUGGGCAAAUAAUGGCAACAUGAAUAUCUUCUGGAAGCAUCUGAGUUCCUGGUCCUGGGGGAAGAAGGGAUGGGGCGCAGGUUGAAGAGAGUCCAAGGGAGUGGGAGAAACCUCAACGGCACAGGGCCGAAUCUUGUUGGGCAUCUGGAAGCUCAAUGUACACUGCAGAGCCCCCUAUCGGGGAGAGAUGUAAUUACAACAGGGGUCCACGCUUGUGCGGACUAGGGUGGGAACCCAGGCUUUGGGGUCAGAGCCACUGGAUUUGGAUCUUGGAUUAAUUAGUUAAUAGCUGGGACUCUGGGCAAGUUACUUGAAGCUCUCGGAGCCUGUUAAAUGGAGUAGGUACAGAACCUCCCCUACUUACUUCAUAGGGCUGUUCUGGGUAUCAAAGCACACUAAGUGGGGUCCCUGGGAGCCUCAGUCGUUAAGCAUCUGACUUCUGCUCACAUCAUGAUCUCAUGGUUCAUGGAUGUGAAUUCCACAUCGGGUGAGCUUGACCUGCUUUGGGUGAGCCCCACUUCUCUCUCUCCCUCUCUCUCUCUCUUUGCCCUUCGUGGGAUUCUCUCUGUCUCUGUCCCCUCACCCUCUUGUGCCCUCUCUUUCAAAAAGAAGAUGCUCAGUGGCUUGGACUUUAGAGCUCAAAGCUCUCCAAUAGACGCGGGCAGAUUGGGCCUCUGUGUCUCCCUGUGUGUUCUCAGCGUGGGGCAGCAUCUCAGUGUCGACACCUCGUGCCUUCUGCCCCCUGAAAGGAGCGCCCAGGGGAGCUCUGCAGUCCCUGGUUGGUGCUGUUUUGCUCCCACAGAGCAGCUGCGCCAGCCCCGUGUCACACUGCGCUCCAGGAUCGGGGAGAAGGGACAGUGCAUCUUCACCCUGACUUGUGCCGUAGAAAGCGGAGGAGGCUCUGGGAACUACAGCCGGAUACCAGGCUGCUGUGUCCCGUGGAGGUCUGUCCUCAGUGUCUCCUUGAGGCCUGGGGACAGUGCUGUGGCCUUGACCUGCGUGGUCCAGAACGCAGUCAGUAACACAGCUUCUGCCUCGUCUUAGUGCCACCUUUGUGCAGGGCCAGGGAUCCCGGGAGGGGACACGUAGGGGAAACGGUGAUCGCAUCCUUGGGGAGUCGGCCACUAGGCCCCUGGAGGUCCCAGCGGGUCUCUGGAUGGCUUGCUGCUGUUUUGCAACCAAGACCAGGAGGCAAACCGAUCCUGGUUGCUGGGACUCGAGGGCCUUACAGCCAACAUCUGCGUGCCCUCCCCCAUGGCUCUUCUCUCCAGAUCAGGCCCUGGAGGCUGCAGGACUCUGGCCCCUGCAGAGCCCGGAUCACCCUGCAUACUUGCCCGGUCAACACCACCAAAGAUUUCACCCUGCGUGUCUAUGAGAAGCUGAGGGAGCCCAAUAUCACUGCCAGUUCCAGGAUGGCCAGGGAGGGGUCUGCUACGUCCCCCUGCCAUGCUCCCUGGCCCCUGCUCGGCCGGGGCGGGGGCACCACUCUCAGUGUCACCUGGACAUCUGGGGUCAGCAACAGUUAUCGCUGCUCUGCCAGGAACCGGUCACGCAGAGCUCCGGCUCUGUCCCCACCGGGCCCCUCUGCCAAGAUUUGACCUUGACAAAUGGAGAAGCCAAGAGGAAUAAUGUGAGAAGGGGGUCACUCUGUGAGACACAGAGAUAAAGAAGUCUGUACCUGGAGCUCCGCCUGGUGCCAGCAUCUCCUGACUCCUACCUCUCUCCUGAGCGCACAGAAGCUUCAUGUGGCCUCACUGUCUUUGGAACUCCAGGGUCUUCGCAGAGGCUCUCCCCUCUGACCGGGCUCUGCCUCCCUGCACGUGGAUCUUAUUCCCUGUGGACCCCAGCUCCACCGCUGUUGUGUGAGAGAACCUUCCCGGAUCCUGGCAGCACCCGUGGGACAGGUCACCACUGCGCCACGCAGCUUUCUUUUAUACAACUCAUUGGCACUGCACUGCUAUUCAAAGAAUAAUUUGAUUCUUGGCCUCUACAAAGGAAAUCCUUUUCCCUCCCCACUGCACCAACUAAAGGGAAACUUCUCUGUUCUUUUCUACUCAAAGCAAACACAUCUGACACUAAAUGUGUGGCUCUUUCGCCCACACCAGCUGGUUCUCCAAUACCAGCUAGGUGUCCUACAAUUCAGUAAAAUUUUGACACUAUUGCUGUCAGAUCCCAUAAGUGAAGGGCUCAGUCCUAAGAGACUGCCCCCUUCAGAGGCCAGUGGCAAGUCGGGGCCUGCCACACUUCUGACCAACCCACAGGAGGCUAAGGGCUCCCACAACCCUCUCCUAGGGGCCAAUAAUUUUCUAGAAUACCUCACAGAACUGAGGAAAAACAGCCUUUUUAUGGAGGUGUCAUUAUGUGGGCAUGAUUGAUAAUCAUCGGACAUUCGUGACAAAACCUUAUCUCCAGCCCCUCUCCCAUCCCUGGAUGUUGGGAGAAAUGGGGUUGAAGCUCCAACCCUCAGAUCAUUUUGUUGGUUUCUCUGGCAACCAGCCCACAUCCUGAGGCUAUCUGGGAUCCUACCACCAGUCACCUCAUUAGCUUACAGAAAGACACUUAUCUUUUUGAAGAUUCCGAGGGUUUUAGGAGCUGUGUGGAAGGAAACUGGGGGAGAAGACCAAAUUUAUAUUUAUUAUUAUCUUUCAAUAUCACAGUCUCUCUCAUUAGAAUUAAGCACCCCAAGGACAGAGACCUCUGGUCACUGCUCUGUUUUUUGUGUUCAGCACAGUGCCUGGUACUUAGUGUGUUGUAGGUUAGCAAAUUGAGUAACAAAUUGAAACUCACUAACUUGCUGGUUUGACUUCUGUACAUUGCUUUGCAAAGGUAUCUCUCUGUUCCCUGUUCUGACUACGUGGUGACUGCUAUGUGGCUCUCUGUUGAAAUUAUCAGAAGGUGCUAACCUCACUGGUAAAUUUGCCUGUUUUCUAAACAGACGGCUUAGGUGGUAAAUUGCACUCCCGCCCCCCUGUUUGAGGCUGACCAGACAAAGCACACGUGUGGGAAGUCACAGAGUCACUGUCUCCCAGAACCUGGAGUGCCUACCUAUAAUUGGUCAUUUCAAGACCCUCUUUAAAGAACUUUAAAACUGGUAGGGUCCCACCAGAACUACUGUCUGUCUGUAAAACUGUGACUGAAAUGCUGAGAACUUUCAUUAGUUAACUAAAUGAUGAUGUUUGCUGCCUUGCUAAAGUCCAUACGAGCUCACUGCUACCUUUGUUCGGGGCCGUUCUCUGCUCCUGAACACCGGGGAGAUCGGGUUUGGCCCGGCCGUGAAUAAAAUCUGUAAUAAAGCUCUCUAAAACUCUC